UUUGAUUUCAGCCGAAUCAAGCUUAUUUGAUGAGUUCUCAAGUUUACACUGUAUGAUGCCUACUAAGAAAUUUAUUAUCUUUCAUAUUUUUGCCUUUCAUUGGUUAGCAUGGUUGUUGAUCACACACACAUGAUAUCAGUAAUAACAGAUUUAGAUUUAUUGAUUGUUGGGAUAUUAUUGAUCUGCCUUAACAUGAUGUUUUAGCAUGUUUUUGUGAUUUUUCUG
rnacentral:lncRNA from 1 species